rnacentral:rRNA from 1 species
UACGUAGGGUGCGAGCGUUAAUCGGAAUUACUGGGCGUAAAGUGUGCGCAGGCGGCCGAGCAAGUCGAGUGUGAAAGCCCCGAGCUUAACUUGGGAACUGCGCUCGAAACUACUUGGCUAGAGUGUGGCAGAGGGAGGUGGAAUUCCACGUGUAGCGGUGAAAUGCGUAGAGGAUGAUGGAGGAACACCGAUGGCGAAGGCAGCCUC